CACCCGAGACCUUUCCGCUCCCCUCCCACGCCAGGGAAAAUGCCUCUUUGGCUCCAUUUCGUGUUCGUUGCAGCAGCUUUGGGAGGUGUCCGGUCACAAGUCCAGCUGCUGGAGUCCGGCGGGGAUGUGAAAAAGCCCGGAGACUCCCUCAGACUGACCUGUACCACCUCGGGGUUCAACAUAGACAGCUACUGGAUGAGCUGGGUCCGCCAGGCUCCCGGGCAGGGGCUGCAGUGGGUAUCAGCAAUUAAUGGAGCAACAACCCAUUACGGAGAUUCCGUGAAAGGGCGAUUCACCACCUCUACAGACAGCUCCAAGAAGCUGAUCUACCUGCAACUGACCGGCCUGAAGCCCGAGGACACCGCCCGCUAUUACUGUGCGAGAGACACAGUGAGGCGAAGCCGGGCUGAGCUCAGACACAAACCUCCCGUUGCGGUCAGCAGGGGAAGUCCCAGCUGGUUUGUGACACUGACAGUCCGGGCGCUGGGCUCUCGCGGUUCCCUUCCUUGA